rnacentral:lncRNA from 1 species
GGAUCAUCUCACACACACUGCAGAUGGCACAGAAGGUUCCACUACGGCCUCCCCCAUUUCUAAACACAGAGCAAAGAGGAUAAUACUCAAAGGACUGCCCGUGUGGAAAUUCUGGAUCAGCCAGCUUGGGGUAGCUGUGAAGAUGAGUAGCAUCCUAGAUAUGGGAUACUGCAUGUCAAAAUACAGAGAUCUGUGGGUUGCUCCGAUGAGCUGAAUGACCCAGAAGAUAAAAGAGGAAGGUUGAGAUCACUGUAGAAGCAGUGAGAAACCAGCAAGAAACUGAGCUCGGCUCCCUGGCUCACAUAGACAUGGAACAGAGAUCACAUCUGUGAGUGGAGGAGCCAGACUUUUCAUAUAAGCACAUGUAAAACUUUUGAAGUUGGCUGAUCCAAGAAUAGAUUCAAAUUCUUCAGCCAAGAGUCUAGACCAACUGACUUUUUCCACUUCAUUGCCUAGUUGACCCUUUGGGCCCGGAGCUCACGCACGCAGUUGAAGAUGUCCACCACCCCUUCAUUCUCGGCCAUGUCAAGCAUGGUGUCAAUGGCAAUGAAGCAGCCAGUCCGCCCAGCCCCAGCACUGGAAGAGAGCAAAUGGGUUGACGGAUGGAAGCAAAGAAGGAGAGGAGAGAGAACAGAGGGGAGAUGAAUGACAGGACAGAAACGAGAGUCCUCUGAGCUGUCCCCAAGACAGAGAGUGGUUGGUGGAGCACCACGUUCAAAGGCCGGCAUCUGGCUCCACCUGCAGCUGUUUUCGCAGGAUCGUGAAGCAAGAGUGUCAUGAAACUGGAGCAGCUGACCGUCCGGAGACCCUUGUCAGGGAUCAAGUUUCUUGAUACAUACUUACUUGAUUUCUGGUCACUAGUGGCUUCUUUAGGAGAAUCUCAGACCAAGUAUAAAAUGGUAGGGGAACUCAACGAGACUCUAUGGGCCUUGGCCAGCCCUUUCUAGAUCAGUGCUGGGCUCUGAAACAUCAGUGCUGACCAAGAGGCACGUAAGACAUGUGCCUUACACAUGUGCAGUUUUGGAUGGGAAGGCCGGGCAGCCUGUCAAGGAGGCCCCCUUCCGCUGCGUUUUCACAUCUUGCCUUUCUCAUGGAAACAAGUGUCUUUGUCUAACAAUGUAGAUGUCAAAAGACACACAAAGAGGAAGAGAGAUGGAACAAGACAAAAAAGCAAUAUUGGCUCAUGGUAAAUCCAAGGGGCACAGGCCAGUGCGGACCACUACCUACAACAAUUUGGAAAGUACACCCAUUGGAAGCAGAGUCUUCAUUCAUGAGAAACUUUCAUGGUUUGAAUGAAGUCUGACUUAAGUUUGCUUCAGAACCUACUCCCCAAAAUCCAGAUGCGGGGACUCAAGAGACUUGGCCUCUGUGUCUGGGAGGGAGUAUAGGGGGGGUCACUCGUGUUUUUUUCUUCAAUGUUCAUAUUCACCAUGCUUUAGUAUAAAGAAUCAGCCCAAUUUGGUUCCAAAUUUUGGAACAACUAUCAAUCAAUCAGCGGUGACCAAGUUGCCUAGUGUCCGUUUGUUUGUUAGCUUCAGAUUUCUGAUGCUUUUAACAUACCUCCCUGCAGGGUCCUUGUGAGGACAAAGCUGUGUUUAUUUCAUUUCAGCAUCACAUAGUAAUUGAACACAGGAUAUUUGAAAAGACCCCCUAGGAUUAAAUCCUGGCUCUAUUACUUAUUAGCUGCAUGACCUCGGGCAAAUGACUUAACCUCUCUGGGUUUCAAUACUCAUCUAUAAAAUGAUGUUGAUAAUAAUUAAAAUACUCACUCAUCUAUAAAAUGAUGUUGAUAAUAAUUAAUAGAUCCACCUCACAGCAUUAAUAGCACAAUAUGUAUAAAUUGGAUGAAA